AAGCUGUGUUAAAAGCUAACAUUAACUAUGCAUUAGAUGCGCUCGUAUAAAAUUAAAAUACGCAGUUUUACAGGCUUUGAAGUGGCUCGAUACACCAGUCCUCACAAAUCCGAAAUACAAGAAUCUCGAAAACAAAACUUUAUGGUAUCUGAACAAACCCACGUGAUUAUUUAUCGGCCAAUUUUCACUAAUAUUUUCAUAAAUGUAUCAAACUUUUUC